rnacentral:rRNA from 1 species
UGGGGAAUAUUGCACAAUGGGCGCAAGCCUGAUGCAGCCAUGCCGCGUGUGUGAAGAAGGCCUUCGGGUUGUAAAGCACUUUCAGCGGGGAGGAAGGCGGUGAGGUUAAUAACCUCAUCGAUUGACGUUACCCGCAGAAGAAGCACCGGCUAACUCCGUGCCAGCAGCCGCGGUAAUACGGAGGGUGCAAGCGUUAAUCGGAAUUACUGGGCGUAAAGCGCACGCAGGCGGUCUGUCAAGUCGGAUGUGAAAUCCCCGGGCUCAACCUGGGAACUGCAUUCGAAACUGGCAGGCUAGAGUCUUGUAGAGGGAGGUAGAAUUCCAGGUGUAGCGGUGAAAUGCGUAGAGAUCUGGAGGAAUACCGGUGGCGAAGGCGGCCCCCUGGACAAAGACUGACGCUCAGGUGCGAAAGCGUGGGGAGCAAACAGG